rnacentral:rRNA from 1 species
AGUGAGCGCUGGCGGUAGGCCUAACACAUGCAGGUCGAACGGCAGCACAGUAAGAGCUUGCUCUUACGGGUGGCGAGUGGCGGACGGGUGAGGAAUACAUCGGAAUCUACUUUUUCGUGGGGGAUAACGUAGGGAAACUUACGCUAAUACCGCAUACGACCUACGGGUGAAAGCAGGGGAUCUUCGGACCUUGCGCGAUUGAAUGAGCCGAUGUCGGAUUAGCUAGUUGGCGGGGUAAAGGCCCACCAAGGCGACGAUCCGUAGCUGGUCUGAGAGGAUGAUCAGCCACACUGGAACUGAGACACGGUCCAGACUCCUACGGGAGGCAGCAGUGGGGAAUAUUGGACAAUGGGCGCAAGCCUGAUCCAGCCAUACCGCGUGGGUGAAGAAGGCCUUCGGGUUGUAAAGCCCUUUUGUUGGGAAAGAAAAGCAGCAGGUUAAUACCCCGCUGUUCUGACGGUACCCAAAGAAUAAGCACCGGCUAACUUCGU